rnacentral:lncRNA from 1 species
UUGAGGAGGAAAACGAAAAUGGUGUUCGCGAAAACUCUGAGGAUGAGACGCCUGAGCAUUCAGAAAGUGAGGAGAAACUUGAUUCUUCAGAUGAUAGUGAAGAAGAAGUGGAAAAGCAAAAGCCAAGGCGAAAAUCAUCAUCCAGAAAGAAGGGUUCUUCUGCUAAAGCUCAAACUAAAAAAGCCACAGGUUCUGCUAAAUCUACUCCACCACCUACUAAAUCACGA